AAAGAGAGAACAGACAAUUUCAUGGAAGGAAAGCCAGAGGAUUCCUAACUACGCAGAAACCACAUCAGCCUAAGGAGGUGCCUGGAGAUGAAAACAAUUGGAAGGUAACUGGUCUAUGAGAGCUCAGUACUGAACACACGAAGUUGAAGAAGACUCGGAUGAAUAAAAUGCCAAUGGAAGGCAUCUCCAAAACCCAACCCAGGCCACAUGGAGCAUAAGAAACCUCCCAAGAUGCCUCCCCUGAUACCCCUGCCCUCCCCUGAUGCCAAACAUAGCCCUGAUGCCUCAACGAAAUGCUUAAAAUAUGUGGCAUAAAUACACAAUGCAAUGCUCCGGCUAGGGAAGGAUACAAGUGGCUUGUGCAGCAAAUAAUUUCAACAAUAUAUUGAGUAAUCAGUUGGCUGGCCUUUUUGUCUAUUUCCUUUCUGAAUUUUAUGUGUAAAAUCUCUUUUGUCUGGCUUCAAAAGAGUUUCUGGGCUCCUGCAAUGUCACCAUUUUAUUGCCAACUCAUCACCAAGCUCCAGUUCUUGUCCAUCCUCCUCCCUGACCCUUGGCAUCUGUAUUCAAUGCCCACACCUGGAUUUCUCAAAGCUUCCUGCAUGCACAAACCAGCUGCUCCUUCCUACUCAGUCCAUUCCUGAUUCAGGCUGCAUGGGCUGCCACCAAACACCUAUCCCUAGCAAUGACUUCUUCUGCCACCUUUUUCUUUGGGCCAGCGUCAUCAGAGGUGAUCAGAAAUGUCGUUCAGAUAGUAUGGGACUUGAAAUCUUCUCUUCCUGAGGCCAUGUCACAAUAUCAUAUCCUGGACCUUUAUCCUGGCAUCUGCUAGUCACUCAUAAAUGUCAAAUUUCUGAAAAAAAUAAUAUGAUGAAAAGGACUCCUGUGUGAUAUUGGUGAAGCACUCCAAAUAUUUCAGUGUGUUGUCAAGGAAAGGCUUCAUUUUGGUUAAUGAUUACUUCUUUAAUUCUGAUCAUGUUGAUGUAAGUAUUAAGAUCUCAUUAAAACGC